UACGAAGGGGGCAAGCGUUGUUCGGAAUUACUGGGCGUAAAGGGCGCGUAGGCGGUGCUCUAAGUCAGGCGUGAAAGCCCUGGGCUCAACCCGGGAAUUGCGCUUGAUACUGGAGCGCUUGAAUCCAGGAGAGGUUGGUGGAAUUCCCGAGUGUAGAGGUGAAAUUCGUAGAGAUUGGGAAGAAACACCGGUGGCGAAGGCGGCCAACUGGACUGGUAUUGACGCUGAGGCGCGAAAGCGUGGGGAGCAAACAGG
rnacentral:rRNA from 1 species